CAGAGGUGCCUUGCCGAUCGUGCGUGGUGGAAGCGUAGGAACUCCUAUCAUCGCAGGUCAGCAGGCACCUCUUCCUAUUUCCCCGUCCACAGACAGCACGUCACACGGUGGAUCAAG
rnacentral:sRNA from 1 species